rnacentral:rRNA from 1 species
UACGUAGGGGGCUAGCGUUGUCCGGAGUCAUUGGGCGUAAAGAGCGUGUAGGCGGCCCGGUAAGUCCGCUGUAAAAGUCAAAGGCUUAACCUUUGAAUGUCAGUGGAUACUGCCGGGCUAGAGUCCGGAAGAGGCGAGUGGAACUCCUGGUGUAGCGGUGGAAUGCGCAGAUAUCAGGAAGAACACCAACGGCGAAGGCAGCUCGCUAGGACGGUACUGACGCUGAGACGCGAAAGCGUGGGGAGCGAACAGG